AAGGGAGAGGUGGCGGCGGCCGCGGCAGCUGCAGCGGGCAAAAGUGAGAAGCUGAAAGUCACUGCAUCCAAGAACUCAGAAGUGCCAAUUGUCUGUCUGCUGACCUCACGUGGAUGAAGACAAGAGGAUCGAACCAUGUGCUUGUAAAUAUUAUAUAAGCAUGCAAAAUGAAGGCUUGUGAGUGGCAAACUAAUUGGCUGGACAUCCUUAGUGAGAUGCAUUCUAAGUGACAAAAUCGCAUCCUUAACUGCCUUGGAAAUCUAAUGCUGGGAGUUUUGAUUGCACCUCAAGGUGCCAUUCUAGGCUGCGGCUUUUGAAAACUGUUCUGGAAUGGAGGUGGAGGAGGGGAGUUGUUAAACCUCUGCCCCAAACCCCAUCCCCUCACCCUGCAAGGCACUGGCCCCCUGCUUCUGCUAAUGACAGAUAAAUAAAGUUUCUACUUUCUACUUGGCUGCUACAGAGUGGUUCCAUCAAGAACCUGGAAAUAAAUCUGAAUUUUUAAAAUCAUCAGAGUCUGAGCAACUGCCAGGAGUAAACAUACUUCAGCUGCAUGAAUCUGAACUGCUGCCGAGGGAAAGCUGACUG